rnacentral:tRNA from 1 species
GCCUUCGUGGUGUAACGGUAGCACACUCGGCGCGUAUUCGAGAGGUCUGAGGUUCGAGUCCCAGCGAAGGCU